UAACUUUCUAGAUUUGAGUUCGAACGGUGAAGGAGAUGCCCUAGAAUGAUCCCACAAAAUGAGCUCAUCGAUAGUAAAAUCACAACCAAAUCCUAUGGACUACGAUCUGAGUUCGAAAAUAGAUGUUUCAGAUCUGAGUACAGGUGGACUACGAACGAUUUCACAAAGUCUGGAGCUGGUUCUACUCCCCCUGACCGGAGAUGGCGAUCGGCGGAUUCUACUCCCCCGAUCGAUGAUUUUCCGUUGAGGCCAUACUACUUGGGUUCUAGCACUAUCUUGUGAUGCUUGGCACAACGGUUCUGAUUCCCUCCAAUCUGGUUCCCCAGAUGGGAGAUGGAAAUGUAAGACUUUUGACAAUAACAACAGUUUCACAAACAA